ACGGUAGCACAGAGAGCUUGCUCUCGGGUGACGAGUGGCGGACGGGUGAGUAAUGUCUGGGAAACUGCCUGAUGGAGGGGGAUAACUACUGGAAACGGUAGCUAAUACCGCAUAACGUCUUCGGACCAAAGUGGGGGACCUUCGGGCCUCACACCAUCGGAUGUGCCCAGAUGGGAUUAGCUAGUAGGUGGGGUAAUGGCUCACCUAGGCGACCAUCCCUAGCUGGUCUGAGAGGAUGACCAGCCACACUGGAACUGAGACACGGUCCAGACUCCUACGGGAGGCAGCAGUGGGGAAUAUUGCACAAUGGGCGCAAGCCUGAUGCAGCCAUGCCGCGUGUAUGAAGAAGGCCUUCGGGUUGUAAAGUACUUUCAGCGGGGAGGAAGGCGAUAAGGUUAAUAACCUUGUCGAUUGACGUUACCCGCAGAAGAAGCACCGGCUAACUCCGUGCCAGCAGCCGCGGUAAUACGGAGGGUGCAAGCGUUAAUCGGAAUUACUGGGCGUAAAGCGCACGCAGGCGGUCUGUCAAGUCAGAUGUGAAAUCCCCGGGCUUAACCUGGGAACUGCAUUUGAAACUGGCAGGCUAGAGUCUUGUAGAGGGGGGUAGAAUUCCAGGUGUAGCGGUGAAAUGCGUAGAGAUCUGGAGGAAUACCGGUGGCGAAGGCGGCCCCCUGGACAAACACUGACGCUCAGGUGCGAAAG
rnacentral:rRNA from 1 species